UCUGCGGUCGGUCUGCACGGACGCGCGCCCCGUCGUCCAGCGCGUCGCUGUCCCCGCGCUGUGCGGCGCGAGCCUUUGAGGCCGGGCGCGCCCCCGUGCCCCGCAGACGCCCCGGCCACUCGGCCGUGCACGUCUGGGAGGGACGGCCCGGGUCCCGCCCUGUGAGAACGCGGCCCGCCGCAUCCCCACGCGGCGCCCUCCGUCCAGGGCGCUUCCCCCGGCCGCCUCUGUUGGACGGUUUCCUCCUCGCUGUCUGUCGCUGGUAGUAACAAGCACGCACGCUGUGCGAACGGACUGAGGUAUCUGCUGGGUGGCUUUCAUAAAUGUCAGCUGUUUCUUCAGAUGGCGCUUGCCCUGUUCCAACAUGACGGUUGGUGUCCCCUCUUUCGUGUUACGGACUUGCGAGCAGGGACUGCAUCUUCACAGUCUUUCACGUUAAGAUGCCUGACAUGAAAUACAUUUUUGCGUGCUUAAUACAUGCGCCAAUUGAUUUCUCCUUAAAUACGGCCCUUAUUGUAUAGGGUUUUUCUUAAGUCGUCUCAGUGAAAUGGCUUCACUGAGCAAGAUAAAGCUUUGGGACUUACAAGGAGGCAUCCACUGCUGCGAUGUCUUGGGUAUGAGUAAAUGGACUGACGAGUCCUCGGUUGGGAUACAGCCAGCCUGGGGGCGGCACCGGUCCCAGGCUGUGACUGCAGUGCAGGUCCAGGAACACUGCUCGUUUGCGUGUCUAGAAGCCCACUUGGACACUUUCUUUGGCUUUUUCCCAUCUGGUGCACAGUCUUCAGUUUUCAGUUGCUUGGGUUAGUAGCACAUACAAUCUUUCUCUUUCGCGUUAAGAUGCCGUACAGGAAAUGCAUUUGGGUGCUUACUACACAUGUGAGUGGAUCAGUCCUGUCGUCUGCCACGGCAGACUCUCGGUGUUCCUCCUCUCUGCUUGAUAUCCCUUUUCAGUCUCCUUUGUAAGUUUCUCUUACUCUAAAAAAAAAAAAAAAAAAAAAAGAUUCUCUGGCUCACGUCUCCAAUUUCCACCGAUAUUCCGAUGACUCGUCUAUUUUUUUGUCAAGACAGAUCUCCUGACCUCCAGGUCCUAUAUGUCCACUGCCUACUGGACAUUUCCAUGUGUGCAGGCAUCUCAAACAAUCUGUUAAAUACUGAACUGUGUCUAAUCCCCAAACCUCAAGUGAAACCUGGGGGCCAAACUCGAGUCCUUGCUGCGGUGUCAUCCCAUGUCCAAUCAAACAUGAGUCCUGCAGGCUUUCUUCUCGGACGUCUCAGAAUGCCCAGCUCUUCUCCAUCUCCAAUGCUCUGUUGCCACCAGCCUCAUCCCAGUUACUAAUUCCCGUCUGGGUCCUUUCAAUAGCCCCCUAACUGAUGGCCUUCCUCCAUCCUGCCUCCUGUCUUUGCCCACUCAAUUCACCCUCCACGGAGUAGCCAGGCUGAUCUAAGACGCACCCUCUUGGUGGCUCACCAGCUUUGUGUAAAACCAAGCUCCUCGCUGGGCUGCGAGCGCCGCCAGAGCCAGGCUCCACGCCCCUCUCAGCCUCAUUGCUUCCUCAUCUUAAAUGUCUUCCAAGGGUUUUAGAAGUGGUCGCCCUGCAUCUCUUUACCCGGCUGAACUACGACUCAGCCUUCGAGCUUCAGUGCCAGUGGUCUUUGCUGCCCGGCCUUCACACCCUUCUAUCUUCCCCUCUCGAUGAAUCAUAGCCGUGCCGUGUGACCGACAGAACACCGUGGAGGUGACAUUGUGGGAUGGAUGGGGCCAGGUCACACGAGUCAUCCCAGCUUCAGCCUUAGCCUCUCUUGGAUUGCUCACGGCGGGGGAUGUCAGCCACCAUAUUGUGAGGGUACUCAAACAGGCUGUGGGGAAGGCCACAUGGCAGUCACCUUGCCAGCCAUGUGAGAGACCCUCGUGGGCGACAUCUGCCAAAUGCAGGGCAGCCUUCAGGGACUAUAACCUGAGAUACUGAGCCAGAACUGACACGGAAACAGUGAGGGUAAUACAUGUAACUGUGGUUUUAAGCCACUAAAAUUUGGGGUAACGUUAUACAGUGACAGGCCGUCAAUGCAAUGUAUGGAAGUGUCAUAAUUUUUUAAACUAUUCCUCUCUAAUUGGAUACUUAGGUUGUUUCUAGUUUUAUCCUAUUACAAGCAAUGUGGUAGAGAAUAUCUUUAUAUUUAUGUGAUUCUUUAGAAUCUAUUUCUAGAAAUAAAAUUGCUAGAACUCGUAAAUUAUGACAAUCAUUGGCAAACUACGUUCCCAAAGGUUAAAAAUUCUCAUUACUUUGCACUUCCCCCAAUGGGCAUCACAGAGCUUAUUUCUCCUCGUCCUUGCCAACAGCGGAUCAUUUCAGUCUUUGCCAGUCUUUGGCGACAAAUGACAUAACAUUUUAAAUGUAUUAGUGAGGUGCAGACAGUUAUGUCAGGGGUUUACUGGAUGUUCGUCUUUCUUUUUCUAUGAUUUCUUUCAGUGUUCUUUGGCCAACUUGACUUAAUCUUGAUGUGAAGAACUUCCUUACAGACCGUGGACGGUAACUUUUCGUCACGUGCCCUGCAUACACGUCCUCAUUAUUGUGUGCCUCACAUGGUGUCUUUCGCUCUGCAGUGUUUCCCGUCUUCACACUGUCACAUCUGUCAUCUUUCCUUUAUAGCUCCUGGGUUUUCUGACCACGCUCCCUACCCCGACAUUGCAAAAAAAUUUUAAAUCCUUCUCGUUUUAAAAAUGUUGCAUCUUUUCAUUCUGGGGUGAGACAGAUCUAACGUAAUUUUUUUUUUUAGUUGCAUAAUCAAUGUUUCAUCAUCAUUCGUACCUGCUGAUUUGAAUCACCUGAUCACAUACGAAUUCCUGUGUGUACGACCUGUUUGUAAACUCUUAGGUUUAAGUGAUUUUUAAAAAGAACGAGUAUGCAACAGUCCCGCAUAUUUUAAAUUCCUGUUUCUUUAAUCGAAUGCUUUGAUAUUUGGGAGCGCCAUCGCCCCUUGCUUGCACUUCCUGUAGUCAGCGAUGGCUCGCCACCACCACGUCCGCAGAUCAGGAGUAGGGGAUGGAGUGCCCUUGAUUUUAGGGGCACGGCCCAGAGGUGUCACGGACCACUGCCCCUCCUAUCCCAUUAGCCAUCACUUGGUCACAUUGCCUCACCGGGCCGAGAGGGAGACUGGGAAACAGUCUGUCAUGCGCCAGCUACCCAUUCUGCCACCAGGAGAACGGAUGGUGGGGACAGCUGGCUGUGGCCGCCACAAGUCGCGUGACUAGUCCUUUCCUGUGUGGGUUAAAGUCGAGUGCGCAGUUUCGUGCACACUAUCAGCCUUGUUUCUCUGAUGAUCACAAACUCUUAGAGCGCAGCAAUGUAAGACUUUUCUGAAACAAGCCAGCGUGUGGGAACGGCUCAUGCCCGAGACGCAGCACCGCGUAGUCAUCAUCAUCAGCAAAGGCUGCGAAGCCGAUCCAAGACAUCUGAUCCGCUACAAAAUGCAAGUUGGAAGUUUCCCCCUGCUUUAUGUUCUGCUUUGAGCAUCCGUCCUCCAAACCAACCGGCUUGGUUCUCAGGCUCCUCUCCAGGGCUAUAACGACAAGCGUUGACGCCAUGCUCUGUAAGGGCAGCUCCCACCCUCCCAGCACACGUUCACUGUGACAGUGGCCACUGUGGACGCUCCUGGACGGCUGGGCCCUGUGUACACGUGGCUGCCCAUCUUCACGACCCCACAGGGUGUGUGUCACCACCUGCUUUACUGGUCCAGAAAAGGGUGACUUGCCUCACUGGCUGGGAACCAAGAGCCGUCCACAAGUGUGUCAGAGCUGGACGGGGUGUUUCAGAGACGUCACUGGGUCCACGUGGUUCUGCGAGGUGGUCAUUAUACCACCAACUCCACAGGUCACAAGAUGGGAAUAAUGGGACUUGUAAGAGGUUAGCAUGUGAAGCCCAAGACACCCAGCCCACCGGAGGUGGCAACGCUCACUGCACGUGCAGCUCUGGUGGGCAUGUCCCCACCGCCUCAGCUGGGACAGGCGGCCGCUUUCCCAGAGGCCGGUCCACACUUCGUUUUCCUACACAGUUGGUUUUCAACACGGUCACAUGACACACUGGAGCCUUGACAGCAUUUGCGCACCGAGUGGAGGGCCGCUCCUCCUGGGCAGGUUCUGAAGAAUCUCAUUUCCGAGUUUGUGACCCAUCUGUGAUGCCUCACAUGGCUCCAGGGCCACUGUCCCGCCCGCUGUGCUCCAGGCUUUGUGUGGAGAGGGGCUCAGAAAAUGCAGACGGCCUCGAAGCCACUGUUUCCCACAGUUUCAACAUUUCACUGUAACUACUUUUUGCAGAAUGUUAGCUGUAGAGAAUCAGAAAUAAAUACCGUGUAAGGUUUGAACUGCG